CUUCAUCUUUUUCUAGCGGAUUCGUUUUUUCCGUUUCCCCAGGCAGUCUAUCCUUGAUAUGUUCACCUUAACCGGUGACGGAUAUUCUUCCUUCUGAGUUUAUCCAUGAUAUGUUCAUCUUAACUGGUGACAAAUACUCUCUCUUUGGUUUUCUACCCAGUAAAUUGGUAGUUGUAAAUCCUAUUUUUUCCCAGCAGUCUAUCCUUGAUAUGUUCACCUUAAUCGGUGACAGAUAUUCUUCCUUCUGAGUUUAUCCUUGAUAUGCUCAUCUUAAUCGAUGACAGAUAGUCUCUCUUUGGUCUUCUACCCAGUAAAUUGGUAGUUGUAAAUCAUAUUGUUUCAUUUUUCCCUAGUAGGCUAUUCUUACCCAGUAACCGGUAGUGAAUAUUCCUCUUUUUUUCCCUCAGUGAGUCAUCCUUGAUAUGUUUACCUUAACCGGUAAUGGAUGUCCCUCUAUCGGAGUAUACUAUCUUCCUACCCAGUAACAGGUAGUAGAUAAUAAAUCUCUUUUACUUUUGUGUU
rnacentral:lncRNA from 1 species